CAGAACUCCGCAGUUAAG
rnacentral:snRNA from 1 species